rnacentral:rRNA from 1 species
CCUACGGGUGGCUGCAGUGGGGAAUAUUGGACAAUGGGGGGAACCCUGAUCCAGCCAUGCCGCGUGUGUGAAGAAGGCCCUCGGGUUGUAAAGCACUUUCAGUGAGGAAGAACGCCUGGUGGUUAAUACCCAUCAGGAAAGACAUCACUCACAGAAGAAGCACCGGCUAACUCCGUGCCAGCAGCCGCGGUAAUACGGAGGGUGCGAGCGUUAAUCGGAAUUACUGGGCGUAAAGCGCGCGUAGGUGGCUUGAUAAGCCGGUUGUGAAAGCCCCGGGCUCAACCUGGGAACGGCAUCCGGAACUGUCAAGCUAGAGUGCAGGAGAGGAAGGUAGAAUUCCCGGUGUAGCGGUGAAAUGCGUAGAGAUCGGGAGGAAUACCAGUGGCGAAGGCGGCCUUCUGGACUGACACUGACACUGAGGUGCGAAAGCGUGGGUAGCAAACAGGCUUAGAUACCCCUGUAGUC